UUGCAGCAGGCGACGUAAAUUAUCCAAUGCUCUUAUGAGUGAGAUAGUAGAAGAAAAAUAAGAAGAACUAAAGUAUUUAUUCUUUUUGGUAAUUACGAAUGAUAGAAAUAGUAAAUACAAUUAAAGAGUAACAAUAGAGGAAGUCUGGUGCCAGCAGCCGCGGUAAUUCCAGCUCUAUGAGUGUAUAUUAAAACUGUUGCUGUUAAAAAGCUCGUAGCCGAUGAUAGAAGUGGGGUCACAAUGCGAGCGUCAAUGAGUGGCGUUUUGUCGAAAGGCAGCGCGACCGCAUUCGCUUGCACCCGUUUCAUAAUGUAGAGAACGUAAUCCAAAAGUGGUCGCGUCAAAAACGGCCGCCUGCGUUCUUUUACUUUACCCUGAAGAAUUCUUAUUGCUCAUGAAAGGAUACAAAUCAAUCAUCCAUUGUGAGUUUCAGCAGGGGAUAAUAAAAUAUGACUUUAUUCAUAUGUUUAUUGGUCUUUCCGUUUAAUUCGAAUAAAGUAAUGACGAAGAGAAAAGAAUAGGGGAG
rnacentral:rRNA from 1 species